rnacentral:lncRNA from 1 species
GCCAACCCAAAAUCAGGUUUCUGCCAUGCUAGAAAACAAAUUAGUCAUGUGGUAUUGAAGAACAAAUAUAUUAAGAUAUUUUAUGAUGCUCAGUUCAUUUAUAAGAUGAAAAUGAUUUUUUUGACAAAAUAGGGGGCCAAAUACGGCCCUUAGUGUACCUCUUCAUAUCUAUAGCAACAGUAACAUUAUUAGCCUGUAUGAGUUAAUGAAUAGUCACGAUAAAUAUACGCUUAUAACCAG